CCUUCCUCCCUCCCUCCCUUCAGCGUUGCCCUCGGGCUCAGUGAGGAGCCGAGCCGGAGCUGCCCCGGCUGCGGCAGCAGUAGCAGAAGGGGAUGGGAACUGCGGAGUUGAGCAGGUGUGAAGGUCUCCUGCAGAGAGAUCAGCCAACUUAAGUGGAAACCAGACUGACUGCCUGUCUUCAGCCACACUGCCUCACCACUGCCUCCUUUGGACACGGCUGAAUGCCUCAGGACCUUCCAAAACAGUUAAGGCACUGAAUGGGAGAAGAGUGCAGAAAGCUUGGCAGAUGGACCCGAGCAGCAUAUGCUGUGUUCACCUAAAGCAUGACAUGGACUGAAAUGAACUCAGGACAAAGGGUGGUCAGAGGAGUCAAGAGGGUGAGUAGAGAAGGUGAGCAGAAAGGCAAGAGGAUUUGCUUCAGGUGAAACUGAGGAAUUUUAUUUUUUGCAGAAGACAGUAUCAGUGAAGUAUAUACCCAAAUGCUGUAAAAGGCAGGGAGGUGGG